rnacentral:rRNA from 1 species
UACGUAGGGUGCAAGCGUUGUCCGGAAUUAUUGGGCGUAAAGAGCUCGUAGGCGGUUUGUCGCGUCGAAUGUGAAAACCCGGGGCUCAACCCCGGGCCUGCAUUCGAUACGGGCAGACUAGAGUCCGGAAGAGGAGAGUGGAAUUCCUGGUGUAGCGGUGAAAUGCGCAGAUAUCAGGAAGAACACCCGUGGCGAAGGCGGCUCUCUGGGACGGUACUGACGCUGAGACGCGAAAGCGUGGGGAGCGAACAGG